CAACAGCCGCACAGGUAUUCCAAAUUUGUUUAAAAAAUGAGCUUAAUCGACCUGGACGUUCGGCAAACUUCGCCAAUACUCAAGGGUACUGGUGCGCGGCAUCUCCCCCCAAGUGCCCCACCAGGCAAGGUACCGUGGACCGCGUACCUUGAUUUACUCCUAAUGGUCUUAACCCGGAUUCAUCCCCCAGAACCCGG
rfam:Pseudomonas taeanensis MS-3 contig_09, whole genome shotgun sequence.